rnacentral:snRNA from 1 species
GGGUGAUCUUCCUGCAACAUCUGUCUACCCACUGGUUGCUGGGGUUGACUUGGCUGGUCUGUCUGGUUAGGCAGGUGUUCCCUUCCAAGUAUUCCCUGCCUCAUCCGUCCAUAUGUCCAUAUUCUUCCCUCCUGAAGCUCUGCACUAGCUCUAAAAGGAUGAAAAAGACCCAACAGGAAAGGACCAUCCUUCAGUCAAGGGUAUAUAAGCAGCUGUUCUACUCUGCUAGAACCUCCAAACAAGUUCUCAAGAACAAUACAUAAUCUUGAGAAUAUAAUUUAUCCAUGUGUAAUAAACACAAGCAUGUCCCAGGCCUGGGCUACAUGAGACAGUGU